rnacentral:rRNA from 1 species
AUUUUGCAAUUUCCAACAAUUAGCUAUCCAUUUGGUGCGUUUUCAUGGAUGCCAGAACCAAGAGAUCCGUUGUAAAGUUUAAUCUAUUAAAUUUUUCAGACUGAUUGCAACUACAAAGGUUUAAAUGUGUCCAAUCGGCGGCACCCGUCCGAGAAAUGAAGGUACUCAAAAGAACAUGGUAAGAGAUAGCAGGCAAAGCCUACAACUCUAGGUAAUGAUCCUUCCGUAUGUGAACCUGCGGAAGGAUCAUUA